GAUGAACGCUAGCGGCAGGCUUAAUACAUGCAAGUCGUGGGGCAGCAUGAAGUAGCAAUACUUUGAUGGCGACCGGCAAACGGGUGCGGAACACGUACACAACCUUCCUUUUAGUGGGGAAUAGCCCAGAGAAAUUUGGAUUAAUACCCCGUAACAUAGCGAUGAAGCAUCCAAUUGCUAUUAUAGCUUCGGCGCUAGAUGAUGGGUGUGCGUAUGAUUAGAUAGUUGGCGAGGUAACGGCUCACCAAGUCUACGAUCAUUAGCUGAUGUGAGAGCAUGAUCAGCCACACGGGCACUGAGACACGGGCCCGACUCCUACGGGAGGCAGCAGUAAGGAAUAUUGGUCAAUGGACGAAAGUCUGAACCAGCCAUGCCGCGUGAAGGAUUAAGGUCCCCUGGAUUGUAAACUUCUUUUAUAUGGGACGAAAAAAGGUCUUUCUAGAUCACUUGACGGUACCAUAUGAAUAAGCACCGGCUAACUCCGUGCCAGCAGCCGCCGUAAAAC
rnacentral:rRNA from 1 species